rnacentral:rRNA from 1 species
UACGUAGGGUGCAAGCGUUAAUCGGAAUUACUGGGCGUAAAGCGUGCGCAGGCGGCUUUGCAAGACAGAUGUGAAAUCCCCGGGCUCAACCUGGGAACUGCAUUUGUGACUGCAUCGCUGGAGUGCGGCAGAGGGGGAUGGAAUUCCGCGUGUAGCAGUGAAAUCCGUAGAUAUUGGGAGGAACACCGAUGGCGUAGGCAGAUAACUGGCUCGUUCCUGACACUAAGGCACGAAAGCGUGGGGAGCAAACGGG